GCGAGGCGAGCUGACGGAGCAUGCCGCGUGGAGGAUGAAGGCCCAUGGGUCGUAAACUCCUUUUCUCAGAGAAGAAUUUCUGACGGUAUCUGAGGAAUAAGCAUCGGCUAACUCCGUGCCAGCAGCCGCGGUAAUACGGAGGAUGCAAGCGUUAUCCGGAAUAAUUGGGCGUAAAGCGUUUGUAGGUGGUUUAUUAAGUCUUCUGUCAAAAAUCAGGGCUUAACCCUGAUCAGGCAACAGAAACUAAUAGGCUUGAGUACGGUAGGGGCAGAGGGAAUUCCCGGUGUAGCGGUGAAAUACGCAGAUAUCGAGAAGAACACCGAUGGCGAAAGCACUCUGCUGGGCCGAAACUGACACUGAGAGACGAAAGCUAGGGGAGCGAAUGGGAUUAGAUACCCCAGUAGUCCUAGCCGUAAACGAUGGAUACUUAAUGCUGUGAAGACUCUAUUCCCCUCGGCUGUAUUAAAUUUCACCAUUGUCCCUACUGCGAUAAAUGUCCCGCCUGGUGAAACUGCUCGAAAGAGACGAAACUCAAAGGAAUUGACG
rnacentral:rRNA from 1 species